rnacentral:rRNA from 1 species
CCUACGGGAGGCAGCAGUGGGGAAUAUUGCACAAUGGGGGAAACCCUGAUGCAGCAACGCCGCGUGAAGGAAGACGGUUUUCGGAUUUUAAACUUCUGUUCUUAGUGAAGAAUAAUGACGGUAGCUAAGGAGCAAGCCACGGCUAACUACGUGCCAGCAGCCGCGGCAAUACGUAGGGGGCAAGCGUUGUCCGGAAUUACUGGGCGUAAAGGGAGCGCAGGCGGGAAGCCAAGUCAGCUGUGAAAACUACGGGGUUAACUUGUAGACUGCAGUUGAAACUGGUGUUCUUGAGUGAAGUAGAGGUUGGCGGAAUGCGGGGUGUAGCGGUGAAAUGCGUAGAUAUGCGGAGGAACACCGGUGGCGAAGGCGGCCAACUGGGCUUUAACUGACGCUGAGGCUCGAAAGUGUGGGGAGCAAACAGGAUUAGAUACCCGGGUAGUC